rnacentral:rRNA from 1 species
UAAUAGUAGAAAGUUGGCAGGACAGCCCGAGACCGGCUACUCACUGAAGCUAAGCAGGGCUGAGUCUGGUCAGUACAUGGAUAGGAGACCACAUGGGAGAACUAGGUUGCUGUUUU